AGGGUGGGAGACAAAACUACAAAAACUUGUCUCAGUUCGGAUUGUAGGCUGAAACUCGCCUACAUGAAGCUGGAGUUGCUAGUAAUCGCGAAUCAGCAUGUCGCGGUGAAUACGUUCCCGGGGCCUUGUACACACCGCCCGUCACACCAUGAGAGUUGGCAAUACCCAACGUACGUGAUCUAACCCGCAAGGGAGGAAGCGUCCUAAGGUAGGGUCAGCGAUUGGGGUGAAGUCGUAACAAGGUAGC
rnacentral:rRNA from 1 species